rnacentral:lncRNA from 1 species
CAUAAUGUCAAUAGUUCCAAAGUUGAAAAACCCUGCACUAAAACAAUUAUCACCUUGUAGUGAGUAGCAGGGGAUCUUGGUUGAGUAAAACCAAGCUUUCACUAAAAUUCAGACUUCUCGAAAGGACUGAUGAGGGAGACACAACUCAGGAAGCAAGAAGAUUAUUGUUAAACUAAAUCAUCAGAUUACUGGAAGCAGGAAAAUCAAAAGUGAAGGUGGUCAGCUGGGCAUCUCCCUUGUAGGGAUUUGGAACUGACUUUCCUGGUCUCAGGAAGCCCAGUUCACUCGUUCACUGAGACAGCCUUAUUGUCGUAAGGAGCUUAAUUAACACAAAGCCAGCCAAGUGGAAGGACUGGAGUUUCAUUAUCACUCAAAUUAGCCUCUCGAAGAACUCGGAGACUAGGGUUUUAUGGAUAAUUUGAAAAGAUGUCUUGAAGGAGGAGGAAGCAGCAAACAUAAAAGAGCUGGAGUAGGGGAGAGAGG